rnacentral:rRNA from 1 species
GACAGAGGGUGCAAACGUUGUUCGGAAUUACUGGGCGUAAAGCGAGUGUAGGCGGUUUGGUAAGUCGGAUGUGAAAGCCCCGGGCUCAACCCGGGAAGUGCACUCGAUACUGCCAAGCUAGAGUAUCGGAGAGGUUGGUGGAAUUCUCGGUGUAGAGGUGAAAUUCGUAGAUAUCGGGAGGAACACCUGUGGCGAAGGCGGCCAUCUGGACAGUCACUGACACUGAGACGCGAAAGCGUGGGGAGCAAACAGG